rnacentral:tRNA from 1 species
GCGCCUGUAGCUCAGUCGGUAGAGCAGCGGACUUUUAAUCCGUUGGUCGAGGGUUCGAGUCCCUCCGGGCGCACCA